rnacentral:piRNA from 1 species
UGNGAUGCAGGAACUCAUAGCCUUUGCUUA